GUAGGUGAACCUGCCGAUGGAUCA
rnacentral:rRNA from 7 species